UGAACGCUGGCGGCGUGCUUAACACAUGCAAGUCGAACGGUGAAAGAGAGCUUGCUCUCUGGAUCAGUGGCGAACGGGUGAGUAACACGUGAGCAAUCUGCCCCUGACUCUGGGAUAAGCGCUGGAAACGGCGUCUAAUACCGGAUACGAGCUGCGAAGGCAUCUUCAGCAGCUGGAAAGAACUUCGGUCAGGGAUGAGCUCGCGGCCUAUCAGCUUGUUGGUGAGGUAAUGGCUCACCAAGGCGUCGACGGGUAGCCGGCCUGAGAGGGUGACCGGCCACACUGGGACUGAGACACGGCCCAGACUCCUACGGGAGGCAGCAGUGGGGAAUAUUGCACAAUGGGCGAAAGCCUGAUGCAGCAACGCCGCGUGAGGGACGACGGCCUUCGGGUUGUAAACCUCUUUUAGCAGGGAAGAAGCGAAAGUGACGGUACCUGCAGAAAAAGCGCCGGCUAACUACGUGCCAGCAGCCGCGGUAAUACGUAGGGCGCAAGCGUUAUCCGGAAUUAUUGGGCGUAAAGAGCUCGUAGGCGGUUUGUCGCGUCUGCUGUGAAAACCCGAGGCUCAACCUCGGGCCUGCAGUGGGUACGGGCAGACUAGAGUGCGGUAGGGGAGAUUGGAAUUCCUGGUGUAGCGGUGGAAUGCGCAGAUAUCAGGAGGAACACCGAUGGCGAAGGCAGAUCUCUGGGCCGUAACUGACGCUGAGGAGCGAAAGGGUGGGGAGCAAACAGGCUUAGAUACCCUGGUAGUCCACCCCGUAAACGUUGGGAACUAGUUGUGGGGUCCAUUCCACGGAUUCCGUGACGCAGCUAACG
rnacentral:rRNA from 1 species